CAGUCGCCACGGUAAUACGGAGGGUGCAAGCGUUAAUCGGAAUUACUGGGCGUAAAGCGUGCGUAGGCGGUUCGUUAAGUCUGUUGUGAAAGCCCCGGGCUCAACCUGGGAAUGGCAAUGGAUACUGGCGAGCUAGAGUGUGUCAGUGGAUGGUGGAAUUCCCGGUGUAGCGGUGGAAUGCGUAGAGAUCGGGAGGAAUAUCAGUGGCGAAGGCGGCCAUCUGGGACAACACUGACGCUGAGGCACGAAAGCGUGGGGAGCAAACAGGAUUAGAUACCCGAGUAGUCCCUGUCUCUUAUAA
rnacentral:rRNA from 1 species